ensembl:snRNA U6 U6 spliceosomal RNA
GUUCAUUUCAUGGGCACACAUACUAAAACUGAGCUAUAGAGAGAAGACUAGUAUGGCCCCUGCCCAGGGUUGACUUACAAAUGAAUGAAGCUUUCCAUACAGAA